UACGUAGGGGCCGAGCGUUGUCCGGAGUUAUUGGGCGUAAAGCGCGCGCAGGCGGCUUCGCGCGCCCGCCGUGAAAGCCCCCGGCUUAACCGGGGAGAGUCGGUGGGGACGGCGAGGCUUGAGGGCGGGAGAGGGCGGUGGAAUUCCCGGUGUAGUGGUGAAAUGCGUAGAGAUCGGGAGGAACACCUGUGGCGAAGGCGGCCGCCUGGGCCGACCCUGACGCUGAGGCGCGAAGGCGUGGGGAGCGAACGGG
rnacentral:rRNA from 1 species